rnacentral:lncRNA from 1 species
GAAAAAAAAAAAAAAAAAAAAAAAAAAAAGGUAGUACUUACUACAUCCAGGACUUAAUUUGUUGUUCAUGUAUUAUCAGUAGGAUUUACCAGAACAAACUAUUACCUAGAGAGCAGAGAUCAAGUACAAACAAAGAACUCAUAAUUGAGCAGAUGUGUCAAAAAGGCAAAUUAUAACACCCAGAAUUUCUAUCUAAAGCUAUAAUUGAAAGUAACUCUCAUAAAAAUGCUAUCCAGUGGAACUUUUUGCAAGAAGGGAAAUUGAGAUUACUACCAUUUCUGAAGGCUGCAUAAGUUUUAAUGUGAUUAAAACUGACAUCUGGUCUUCUCUCUCUGCUGUGCAUUGAGUUUCCUUCUUGUGAUCUUUUUGUAUGCUCACAUAUAUAUACUGGUAAUAAAGCUUUAUAGAGAUUAUCAGUGGUAAUUGCCAUUUGUAGCCUUUCAUGCCAGAAAUUUUGCUAAAUUUUCUGUAUUGCUCAAUGAUUAAUACUUCCAAUACAACAUGCAGAUACUGAGAAAAUAAUCUGAUUUUCUUUUUAUAAUCUUUAGUGUCAUUUCCAUUAGUCCCUGAUAAAGUAUGCCCUUUGUUACAGAAAAUAAAUAUUAAACACAUAAAAAAACAACAUUUUGGAAUGAUAAUCAUUUCAAAAAAUAUUGAAAGCUGAAAGAACAUGAUGUUUUCCUCUGCUGUAAUUACAGUAUUUUUUUUUCGAAAAUCUGAAGAACCAUUUUAUUUUUAUUUGACAUGGGUAAAGAAAAAAAAAAACAGAAAAACAGAAAAGAAAAUGUGUUAUCAGCUUGCUUGUCAACAGUGAAAAAACACAACAGGACAUAGUGUGAUGAAUCAGAAAUCUCUUUAGGUUUUUUAAUUUACUUUUUAAGUACUUGCAUUUCUCAUUUCUAUAAAGUUCUAUUUAAUGCCCUAUGCAAAGCCAUAUCAGUAAUAAAGUACAGUUUUGUAAGAAUGCAUAUAUCAUUCCUGUAGCAGUUAAUAUCCAUCUUUUAUUCUUUUGUUUGGACUUGUAAAUUUAAAUGCUUUUUUCAGUCAUUCUGCUGCAGUUAUUUUUUAACCAAACCACGUACAGAAAAGUUAAACAUAGAUGUGCACAUACACAUAUAAGUGCAGCACAGCUGACUAGGCAAGGGCACCAACCUAUUAACACUGAGAAAAUUCUGGACAUGAGAAUCCAACAGUCUGUAGCUGUUGUACACUUCUGAGAUGAUGAAUGUAUUAAAAUCUUCCUAAAUAUACUGAGAAUAAGAACCUAGAUUUGCAGCUUCAAAACCUUGAAAGUAAUUCAGAGUUAUAUUUUUGAAUUAAAGUUUAUGUUACAUUAUCCAUCUUUCAGUCUCUCCUUUCAUUACCACUGCAAUAUUUUCUCAUAUACUUCUGAAUAGUUUCACCUUGACCAAACUAGUAAACACUAGUUCUGAUAUAUCAGCUUAUUUCUCCCCACUGUAAACAAACUGCUCUUCAGGUGCAUUAAAAGUGUCAAAUGGAUUUCAACAUAUAUCUCUUCAUUACCCCAGAUUUGUGUGUAAAAAAUAAUAUUAAAAUAAUGCAUGCAAGUACUGGAGUAUUGGGUAAAAAAAAGGGUAGAUGAUAGUUUUUUUCAUUAAUCGUCUAUCAGAUUAAUCAUCCAUCUACUGGCUCUUUAAUUUCUUUCUUUCUUAAUUAUUUAUCUAUUUGUUUUCAGUUAUAAAACCCAAGGACUACCCUCCACUCCUCUUCUUUCAAGUUGAGUCAUAGAAGACUUCAACAAAGAUAUUGAAGAAUAUUAGAAGAGUCUUUAUAUUCCUUGGGAAGAUGUUGAAGGGAUCAGGAAUACAGGUUGUAUUCUCUUUGAUCUUCCUGGUUGGUGACUUACAUCUCUUUUGUCCUCGAACCUCUAGGUUAUGAGUGGGGGAGCAAAAUCCUUCAUACUGCAAGCAAAGAGUAAGUUCAAGACCACCUCAUGAAUGGUGGAAUGUGUACAAGUCUACAUGGCCUGAUGACAUGCACUCCAGGGUUCUGAAAAGAAAAAAAUGAAGGAGAAACCAUUUUGUGUUUGAAUAAAUUCCAGUAUUCUUUUGACA